UGGAAUGUAAAAAGUUCUACGAAUAAGGACUGGGUAAGACUAGUGCCAGCCGCCGCGGUAAUACUAGCGGUCCAAGUCGCAGCCAUUCUUAUUGGGUCUAAAACAUCCGUAGCUUGCUUGAUAAGUUUUCUGUGAAAUCUCAUAUCUCAAGUAUAAGAAUUGUGGAAAAUACUGUCAAGCUAGAGACCGGGAGACGUAAAGAGUACGUCUAAAGUAGCGGUAAAAUGUGUUGAUCUUAGGCGGACUGACGAUAGCGAAGGCACUUUACGAGAACGGUUCUGACAGUAAGGGAUGAAGGCUAGGGGCGCAAAACGGAUUAGAUACCCGUGUAGUCCUAGCAGUAAGCACUGCACACUAAACCUUGUGAUCUCUUCGAGAGAUUGCAGGGCUGCAGGGAAGCCGAAGAGUGUGCUACCUGGGAAGUAUAGUCGCAAGGCUGAAACUUAAAGGAAUUGGCGGGGAGACACUACAACGGGUGACGCGUGCGGUUCAAUUAGAUUAUACACCGUGAACCUCACCAGGAGCGACAGCAGAAUGAAGGUCAGUCUAAAGGGCUUACCUGACACGCUGAGAGGGGUUGCAUGGCCGACGUCAGCCUGUGCUGUGAGGCGAUCUGUUAAAUCAGAUAACAGGCAAGACCCACAUCUUUAUUUAC
rnacentral:rRNA from 1 species